UUCCUGGGAGGAGAGGGAUUCAAUGAGAGGUUGUCUUGUGGGUGGGAAAGUCUGAUUUGGGGUUAGGAGAAGAGGGUCCCCAUUAUAGGAUCAUAACAAGUGCAUGUGUCAUGCAGGAGAUCAGAAUCUGAGUCUUUGCCCUUUCCUUCCUCCACCAAAACAUCUGCCGCUUCCAGGCAGUAGGGUAAUCCAGUGUCAACCACACUGUGUUCAGUUCUCUUGCUUGACUUCACUCCUCCUCUGUUUGAGAGAAUAUUUGCAAAAAACAUUUGCUGCAAAAUAAAUGAAUUUCAUAUUUCAUUUGAGCUUCAUAAUCACAGAGCUACAUUUGUUACUUUUGGCAUAGUGUGCAGCAAAUGAAUGUGAGUAGUAUUUUUCCAUUUCUGUUUAUGAUCUUUUUUUAUUUUGCAUGUAAGAGUUGGAGGUGAG
rnacentral:lncRNA from 1 species